rnacentral:rRNA from 1 species
UCCGGUUGAUCCCGCCGGAGGUCACCGCUAUUGGAGUUCGAUUAAGCCAUGCGAGUCGAGAGUCUUAGGGACUCGGCAGACUGCUCAGUAACACGUAGAUAAUCUGCCCUUGGGCGGGGGAUAACCUCGGGAAACUGAGAAUAAUACCCCAUAGGUCUAAGAUGCUGGAAUGCUUUUAGGCUGAAAAUUCCGGUGCCCAAGGAUGAGUCUGCGGACUAUCAGGUUGUAGUGAGUGUAAUGGCCUCACUAGCCUAUUACGGUUACGGGUCGUGAGAGCGAUUGCCCGGAGAUGGACUCUGAGACACGAGUCCAGGUCCUACGGGACGCAGCAGGCGCGAAAACUUCACAAUGCUGGCAACAGCGAUGAGGGAAUCCCAAGUGCUAACACAUUGUGUUAGCUGUUUAUUUGUCUAAAAAACAUGUAGAGUAAGGGCUGGGUAAGACCGGUGCCAGCCGCCGCGGUAAUACCGGCAGCUCGAGUGGUAGCCUCUUUUAUUGGGCCUAAAGCGUCCGUAGCCUGUCUGGCAAACCCUUGGGUAAAUCGUA